UUGCGAGCAGUGGGCAACCCGCCCCCUCACCCGUCGCCACCUAAGGCGCGGCCACAGAAUACUAUUACUUCUAGCGGGCGCGGCCAACUAGUUCCGCGCGCACUUUAAUUUAUGUACUUAAAACUUAAAAAUAAUAUAUUCGGAAUUUAAUACAAUUACCAUCUCUUAGUGCAUAUAAUUAUCUUCCUUUUCUUUCUCAGUGGUUAAUAUUAUACUAUACUGUAUACUAUCAAAACAUUGUGUUUAUAAAAUAGUGUGAUUAACUUAUUUAAUUCUGAGUGAAAUUUUCUCGCUAAUGUGGUAUUAAAUAACAAUUACAAGCUAACCAUUAUGAGCCCGAAAUAGCCUGAAUAAAUUUGAUGUUUCUCGCUCUGCCGGCUUCGAUAUAUUUGUGUGAAAGUGAAAUAGGAUAGCAGAAAAAAAAAUUAAUGAUGUCUGAUAAUUACUAAUAUGAUCUAUUCAUUGACGCAAUGUCAUAAUGUACACAACCUUAUCAUUUUCUUGAUAGUGUGUGUGUUAUAUUUUCAUAGGACGACAUUAUACAUCUUGUGUUUUUUACUGAAGGUGUUUUUUUAUUAUUAUGUUAGUUUACGUGUUAAAAAAAUCUUACUUUUCACUACCUAUUAAAAUGUUUGAGAUCUUAAGAGGUUUUGUAAAUCGGUAAAUGAUUUAAUCAAUUUUAAAGUUUUUUAGUAUUUUGUUUUGAAGUUUUCUUAAUAACGACAAUUUUCAUUAUGUUUUUAAAAUGAAAUGCCGCGAUUGGAUUGUUUUAUUCUGGCACAUGAUAGCGUCUCAAAUUCUCAAUUACAUUUUCUCAUGCUAAGACUCGAAAUGUCAAAAAAAUAUCAAACCAUUGAGCUUCAUGCGAGAAUUCACUAAUGCCUGCGAGUAAUAAGAAUCUAAAUUAGGUACUCAUAUUAACCGCCAGUUGAACAUUGCUACGUAAAAUAAAUAAAUGAUUAUUAUAGUAUCAAAAUCGUCAAGCCAAAGUUUUCAUGGUGCUCCAAAAAACAAAGUUGCAUGAUUUUUACAUUGAAUUAUAUUACUAUAGUAGAAUUAUUUUGUCCGUGCAGUUUGGGUCAUAAAACAUAGCCCGGCUAGGGCGGUGAGCGCGCGUGGUGCUGCGCGGGCGCAACGCCAUUAUCGAUAAAAACAAAGGCAGAUACACGGCGUCGGGGUGGUAUACGAAAGGUGGUGAGACAUUGUUUUGUUAAGAGUCAUUUGUGCCUACCUACCAUUUGUGCUUACCUGCAAAUUAUAUUACAUUAUGUCGAAGAUAAAUGUGUUUUUAUGCAUUCGUUUUCUGAAUUUCUUUAAUAACCCAACAGCUACUCCUUUACUUUGUAUCAAAACGGCAGAAUUUAUUCAAAAUAAUAGUUACACGUGUUGUUAUCAACAAUAUGUUAAAAAUUUUCACUGAAAUAAGAAUAGAUCCCGAAAAGUUCUCGUUAAAUUGCUGCGGCGAUAUGUGGUGUAAGUGUUUGAUUAGUAAUUUUUUCUUUUAUUUCUAUCACUAAACCACAAAAUGACAAAACUAAAUAUGCUAUCGAUGACGCUUAUCGACAACAAUAAUGCGCAUCACUAUGCCCGUCCAUAAGGCUCGUGAGUGGAAGAGAGAGCGAAAUAUUCGCUUCACCGCUCCGAUUUUUUAUGACCCAAACUGCACAGACAAAAUAAUUCUACUAUAGCGUACUGUAAAUGAGUCGACUAUUAUCAAAGGCGGCAAUCUGCCUUUUGGACAAUGAUUGGUAAAUCAGAAAAACGAAUUAUUGACUUUGUAUUCCAUUGGCAGUCACAAAACUCUUCGGAACGACAUCUUAGAUAAAUAACAGGUUAACUAUUAACCUUUAUUUAAUGCAGGUUUUGAACCGUAUUCUUUGAAGGAGACGAUUAUAUUCAAAUAAAUCUGUAUUGACAUAUCAAUAAAAAUGUUUUGUCCAAAUGCACAGAUUGCCACCUUUGAUAAUAGACGACUCAAAUAUUUGAAGCUGAUUUUAACAGGGGACAGCAUUGUUGAUCAAUUUAAUGCUUAUUCAAAACUUGUCAAACCCUCUUUGUUGACCGGUGUUUGAUUUGAGUUUGAACGCCACCAAACGUCACAAUGUCACUCGCUAUACCAGCUGCGGACAUCUUGAAAAUAUUCAACAAAUUCGGUCGCACAGCAAAAUCCCUAUCUCCUCCAAGCCUGCCGUAAGGAACAUAGUUCCAAUAUAAAAUUCGAUGUGUGUUGUGUGAUCCCUACAGACUCCGAAGUGAGUGGACCCAUCUUAAUGAAAGUGUAGGGAAUCUUCAGAUAGACCCAAAAGUAAAGUUAAGUGGCGAGCAAACAAAAACCGGCCAGCUUUGACUGUGAUUUAAUAUUUAUUGACUAGAUUAGCUAAAAGUAAAUAACGCAUUUUUUGUUUCAUUUAUUUAUUUAUACUUUUAAGAUACAAAAUAAGAGCAUAUGCAUACAUUUCUAACAAUUUUAUUAAUAGUUACAAUUGUGUACUACAUACAACUGCAAAAAAAAACAAUAACAAUAAGUGUCUUUCGAUUAGAUAUACUUUAAUAAGAACAAAAUAAUUAAGAACUUAUGAAAUUAUAUUUUCAAGAAAAAAAAAAUAGUGCUCGACUUAAAAAAACCCAGGUAAAACUACACAGAGGCAAAGGGUCGUAAGUGCAUAAGUAGACGUAACUUUUUUGCUAGCAGGACUCAAUUUACUAAAAAAAUAAUAGGUCUCUAAGAAAACAAUCAAACAAGAAACACGAUGAAGUACAUAAUAAUCUAUUUCGUAAAUUACAAGACGUAUAGAUAAAUUUUAAUGAUAUAUUAUGUGAGUUAAGCCCUUUCUGCUUAACUACGUCCAAACUAUUCUAGACUAUUCUAGAAGUUAUCCUAAACAAAUGACUAUCACCUAAAAUAUAACUGAUGUUGUUUAUAUAAAAUAAAAAGAGUGUAACACAUUCGUGGUCUCAUUCACAGCGAGUUAUUGGAGCUUUAUAUAGUUAUAGUAUUCUUAAAAUGCUUUUGAUAUAGCUCUCAUAACUUUAUACUAAUAAGAGUGUAAUUAUCAUGAUGGCGCAAAUAAAAAAAAAACAUUUUUUAAUUGCGUUUGAAAUGUUUGUCGGGAAACAUUUUUGUUCAUAAUUAAAUUUACAUAUUCAUAACAUUAGUUUAUGUACAAGUCUAUAGUUUUCAUGAAAUAUAAGGAUAUACUUUCUAAUAGUACAUUGAACCCAAACAAUUAACAAGAUUAAAAUGUUUUACGUAAUUACUCAAAAUCAUAAGCGGCCUUGGAAAUGUCUCUUUUAGCCAUCUGAAUUUUGAAAAAUAGGCUUUUUAUUAAUUCUUCAUAAAAAAAAACCGUUUCUCUAUGCUCUAUUUCUUUGGAUCUUUAUUUAGACAGUAUUUUAGGUUAGUGAUUAAAAGUAGACAAUCAUACUCGCGUAACUGUAAUAUUAUAACCUGUUUUUUUUUCAACAAUUGCGAUUUUUUUCCCGAUCGCUUAAUGUAUUUGAAUAAGUAUGUGCACAAUAUAAUGAUUACAAAUUACCACUACUAAACUAUUAAAAUAAUAACAUUUCAUUUCAA